GACGAACGCUGGCGGCGUGCUUAACACAUGCAAGUCGAACGGAAAGGCCCUGCUUUUGUGGGGUGCUCGAGUGGCGAACGGGUGAGUAACACGUGAGUAACCUGCCCUUGACUUUGGGAUAACUUCAGGAAACUGGGGCUAAUACCGGAUAGGAGCUCCUGCUGCAUGGUGGGGGUUGGAAAGUUUCGGCGGUUGGGGAUGGACUCGCGGCUUAUCAGCUUGUUGGUGGGGUAGUGGCUUACCAAGGCUUUGCCGGGUAGCCGGCCUGAGAGGGUGACCGGCCACCUUGGGACUGAGAUACGGCCCAGCCUCCUACGGGAGGCAGCAGUGGGGAAUAUUGCACAAUGGGCGGAAGCCUGAUGCAGCAACGCCGCGUGCGGGAUGACGGCCUUCGGGUUGUAAACCGCUUUCGCCUGUGACGAAGCGUGAGUGACGGUAAUGGGUAAAGAAGCACCGGCUAACUACGUG
rnacentral:rRNA from 1 species